rnacentral:rRNA from 1 species
AACGAACGCUGGCGGCAGGCCUAGCACAUGCAAGUCGAACGCCCUAGCAAUAGGGAGUGGCGCACGGGUGCGUAACGCGUGGGAAUAUGCCCUUGACUACGGAACAACACAGGGAAACUUGUGCUAAUACCGUAUAAUGUCUCCGGACCAAAGAUUUAUCGGUCAAGGAUUAGCCCGCGUUAGAUUAGCUAGUUGGUGAGGUAAUGGCUCACCAAGGCUACGAUCUAUAGCUGGUCUGAGAGGAUGAUCAGCCACACUGGGACUGAGACACGGCCCAGACUCCUACGGGAGGCAGCAGUGAGGAAUAUUGGACAAUGGGGGGCAACCCUGAUCCAGCCAUGCCGCGUGAGUGAUGAAGGCCUUCGGGUUGUAAAACUCUUUCAGUGGGGACGAGUAAUGACGGUACCCACACGAAGAAGCCCGGCUAACUUCGUGCCAGCAGCCGCGGUAAU